AUUGUCAGCUAUGAAUCAGUUACUUAUUUAUUCGAUAAGCUUCAUAAAAGUAGACAUUUUCAUCUGUCUUGUUCACUGCUGUAUCUGUAUCCCAGCACCUAGAAUGUCUGGCAUAUGCAGGUGCAGUUGCUGUGUUGAAUGAUAUGCACAAGUUCUAAAUAACUGGAUCUUGCCAAGGCAAAUGCUUCAAUCUACAUGCCUAAAAACUGUGUGUGAGACUUCCUUGUGCUCCACAGCCUUACCACCAUUUGAAAUUGUCCAACUUUGAAAUUUGGAUCGGUAAGAACUAUAUCAAUUUUAUUGUUAUUUUGAGUACUACAGCUCAGUUCAAUACAUAGAUUGACCUUUUUGGUUUCUUUUCUGUGAAUU
rnacentral:lncRNA from 1 species